rnacentral:rRNA from 1 species
CCCUUAGAUGUUCUGGGCCGCAUGCGCGCUACACUGAUGCAUUCAACGAGUCUAAAACCUGCUCUGAUAGGGGUGGGUAAUCUUUUGAAUGUGCAUCGUGAUUGGGAUAGAUGAUUGCAAUUUUUCAUCUUCAACGAGGAAUGCCUAGUAAACGCAAGUCAUCAGCUUGCAUUGAUUACGUCCCUGCCCUUUGUACACACCGCCCGUCGCUCCUACCGAUUGAAUGAUCCGAUGAAUAUCAUGGAUUGAGGAUGCAAGUAGGUUAGCCUAUCUUCAUCUUCGAGAAGUGAAGUAAAUCUUAUCAUUUAGAGGAAGGAGAAGUCGUAACA